rnacentral:misc_RNA from 1 species
GAUGAAGAACGUAGCGAAAUGCGAUAAGUAAUGUGAAUUGCAGAAUUCAGUGAAUCAUCGAAUCUUUGAACGCACAUUGCGCCCCCUGGCAUUCCGGGGGGCAUGCCUGUCCGAGCGUCAUUUCUGCCCUCAAGCACGGCUUGUGUGUUGGGUGUGGUCCCCCCGGGGACCUGCCCGAAAGGCAGCGGCGACGUCCGUCUGGUCCUCGAGCGUAUGGGGCUCUGUCACUCGCUCGGGAAGGACCUGCGGGGGUUGGUCACCACUAUAUUUUACCACGGUUGACCUCGGAUCAGGUAGGAGUUACCCGCUGAACUUAAGCAUAUCAAUAAGCGGAGGA